UACGUAGGGGGCAAGCGUUGUCCGGAAUCAUUGGGCGUAAAGAGCGUGUAGGCGGCCAGAAAAGUCCGCUGUGAAAACUCGAGGCUCAACUUCGAGCUGUCGGUGGAAACUUUCUGGCUAGAGUCCGGAAGAGGAGAAUGGAAUUCCUGGUGUAGCGGUGAAAUGCGCAGAUAUCAGGAAGAACACCAAUAGCGAAGGCAGCUCGCUGGGACGGUACUGACGCUAAGGCGCGAAAGCGUGGGGAGCGAACAGG
rnacentral:rRNA from 1 species